rnacentral:lncRNA from 1 species
AUGGGAGGUGGGAAACAGAUUGCUAUUGGAGAGCUGAAAAGGACUGAAAUCUAGUUCCUUCCUCACUCUUAUCUAUAGCUGGAUAUGGAUCAUUCAUUGCUCACCUCUAUGAAUCCUCCUUGGGUACUGUUAACACAUAGGAAGACCUAACAGUGAAUGCACUGUCUUAGAGUCUCCAGAGAAGCUGGGGUGUUGUCUCGAGUCACUGGCUCCAUUCCCAUUGAGCAGCCUUGCAUUGGAUCAUCCCUCUGGACUUCAUUUCUGUUUGUCAUCUGGGGUCUUAUUUUCAGAGAAAUCGAGUGGCAACAGACAAAGAAGACUUCAUUCAAGACUGUUGCAGUACAUGAGGGAGGUAGAAUUCAACGCUUGUGAAAUAAAAGGUGUGUAAAGAGGUAAGUGUUGGGGUGAGCUAACAGAAAAACACUAGAGAAUAGGUAGAAGAGA